GACGAACGCUGGCGGCGUGCUUAACACAUGCAAGUCGAACGGAAAGGCCCUGCUUUUGUGGGGUGCUCGAGUGGCGAACGGGUGAGUAACACGUGAGUAACCUGCCCUUGACUUUGGGAUAACUUCAGGAAACUGGGGCUAAUACCGGAUAGGAGCUCCUGCUGCAUGGUGGGGGUUGGAAAGUUUCGGCGGUUGGGGAUGGACUUGCGGCUUAUCAGCUUGUUGGUGGGGUAGUGGCUUACCAAGGCUUUGACGGGUAGCCGGCCUGAGAGGGUGACCGGCCACAUUGGGACUGAGAUACGGCCCAGACUCCUACGGGAGGCAGCAGUGGGGAAUAUUGCACAAUGGGCGGAAGCCUGAUGCAGCAACGCCGCGUGCGGGAAGACGGCCUUCGGGUGGUAAACCGCUUUCGCCUGUGACGAAGCCUGAGUGACGGUAAUGGGUAAAGAAGCACCGGCUAACUACGU
rnacentral:rRNA from 1 species